GACGAACGCUGGCGGCGUGCUUAACACAUGCAAGUCGAACGGAAAGGCCCCGCUUUUGUGGUGUGCGCGAGUGGCGAACGGGUGAGUCACACGUGAGUAACCUGCCCUUGACUUUGGGAUAACUUCAGGAAACUGGGGCAAAUACCGGAUAGGAGCUCCUUCUGCAUGGUGGGGGUUGGAAAGUUUGGGCGGUUGGGGGGGGACUCGCGGGUUAUCAGCUUGUGGGUGGGGUAGUGGUUUACCAGGGCUUUGACGGGUAGCGGGCCUGAGGGGGUGACCGGCCACAUUGGGACGGGGAUACGGCCAGAAUCCUACGGGGGGGAAGAGGUGGGGAAUUUGCCACAAUGGGCGGAGCCCUGAUGCAGAAACGCGGGGGGCGGGAGGCCGGCCUUCGGGUUGAAAACCGCUUUGGCCUGUGACGAAGCGUGAGUGACGGUAGUGGGUAAAGAAGCACCGGCUAACUACGUG
rnacentral:rRNA from 1 species